rnacentral:rRNA from 2 species
UACAUUUGAGUGAGUGGCGAACUGGUGAGUAACACGUGGGAAACCUGCCCAGAAGCGGGGGAUAACACCUGGAAACAGAUGCUAAUACCGCAUAACAACUUGGACCGCAUGGUCCGAGUUUGAAAGAUGGCUUCGGCUAUCACUUUUGGAUGGUCCCGCGGCGUAUUAGCUAGAUGGUGAGGUAACGGCUCACCAUGGCAAUGAUACGUAGCCGACCUGAGAGGGUAAUCGGCCACAUUGGGACUGAGACACGGCCCAAACUCCUACGGGAGGCAGCAGUAGGGAAUCUUCCACAAUGGACGAAAGUCUGAUGGAGCAACGCCGCGUGAGUGAAGAAGGGUUUCGGCUCGUAAAACUCUGUUGUUAAAGAAGAACAUAUCUGAGAGUAACUGUUCAGGUAUUGACGGUAUUUAACCAGAAAGCCACGGCUAACUACGUGCCAGCAGCCGCGGUAAUACGUAGGUGGCAAGCGUUGUCCGGAUUUAUUGGGCGUAAAGCGAGCGCAGGCGGUUUUUUAAGUCUGAUGUGAAAGCCUUCGGCUCAACCGAAGAAGUGCAUCGGAAACUGGGAAACUUGAGUGCAGAAGAGGACAGUGGAACUCCAUGUGUAGCGGUGAAAUGCGUAGAUAUAUGGAAGAACACCAGUGGCGAAGGCGGCUGUCUGGUCUGUAACUGACGCUGAGGCUCGAAAGUAUGGGUAGCAAACAGGAUUAGAUACCCUGGUAGUCCAUACCGUAAACGAUGAAUGCUAAGUGUUGGAGGGUUUCCGCCCUUCAGUGCUGC